CCCCUGUUCAAGGCGCGAUAAAGCGCUUAUAUUGGUCGGGCUGUCGCAAGACGGCUAUGGUGAUAAAUGGACAUCGUAAUAGGCCUUUCGGACCCGGGGGCGGUACCCGGCGCCUCCACCCAAGCGGUUAUUGACCGUUUCGGCGGGGGCGAAAUAGCUUCGACGGGGGGUUAAAAGGGUGGUCUUUUGCCCGGCAUGAUACCGCCGUUAUCGGGUCAAAACAGUAGUUGCAAAUGACAACUAUGCUCCGGUGGCCCUCGCUGCGUAAUGCAGUGCUGGUACCGAAAUCAAAGCCCUGAGGGUUAGCCCCUUCAGGCGGGGUUUGGAGGCACCUGGCAACAGAAGCCUCCGCU
rnacentral:tmRNA from 1 species